rnacentral:rRNA from 1 species
AUUGAACGCUGGCGGCAGGCUUAACACAUGCAAGUCGAGCGGGGUGAUGGUGCUUGCACUAUCACUUAGCGGCGGACGGGUGAGUAAUGCUUAGGAAUCUGCCUAUUAGUGGGGGACAACAUCUCGAAAGGGAUGCUAAUACCGCAUACGUCCUACGGGAGAAAGCAGGGGAUCACUUGUGACCUUGCGCUAAUAGAUGAGCCUAAGUCGGAUUAGCUAGUUGGUGGGGUAAAGGCCUACCAAGGCGACGAUCUGUAGCGGGUCUGAGAGGGGGAUCCACCACCAUGGGGCUGAGACACGGCCCAGACUCCUACGGGAGGCAGCAGUGGGGAAGAUUGGACAAGGGGGGGAACCCUGAUCCAGCCAUGCCGCGUGUGUGAAGAAGGCCUUAUGGUUGUAAAGCACUAUAAGCGAGGAGGAGGCUCUUUUGGUUAAUACCCAAGAUGAGUGGACGUUACUCGCAGAAUAAGCACCGGCUAACUCUGUGCCAGCCGCCGCGGUAA